CAGAAACUGAGACAGUGACAGUAAAUCAGAAACCUAGCUAAGGGACCGUUUCAGCCUUCCCUCUACUUUGGCUCUCCUACCUAGUCCCUCCACUGACUGUGGCCCUCUGGAUCCCACCCUGAACUGGUUAGACCCUGUCCCCAAGGGCCAAGCCCCUCCCUCCACAAACGUUCCUUUCCCCCAGCCCCUCCCUUUAAAGGUCAGGACUCACCCUCCUCCCUCUUCCACUAGAGGUGGGAUCUGGAAAUCUUUGGGGUGGGGAGUGGGUGAGUCGACAGUGCUGGGGCGGAAGCCAGGGCCCCACUGAAGAGCGCCCUGGAUAAAGGAGAGAGAAGGGGGCCAGGGGUUCAGGCAGCCCCCUCCGGUCCCAGCCAGUCCGCCGGCGGUUCACGAGCUCCCCCUAUUUACCUCCUCGAGGCCUGAUUUGGUAUUCCAGCGGAGGGAGGGCAGCCGGCUGACUCCAACAGCUGCUCCCUGACCCAAAAACUGUCACUCUGCCCGGGAAUAAAUUGCGGACCGGGGCAGUGCAGCUUGGCGCGACUAGGGAAGGGGAGGGGGUGCAGGGGCCUAGCCCGACCCGGCUCGGGACAGUGGCCACCCCUCCGGCCCCUUGAGCUCCCCCCGCCCCGGGCUCAAUGAGCUGCCCGGGAGGAGUGGCCCCUUCCUCCCAGCCCGCCCUGGUCCUAGAUCCGCAGCCUGCUCGCUCCUUCUGCAGACUCUAUUGGCUCCGAGCGGAGCUAGAAACGACUGCAGUGCCGAGUUCCUUCGGUUCUCCAGGAUGUGGAAACCAAGACUGAGGGGAAAUGAAGCUGGGCAUUUCCAGGGUCCCACAGGCAGCUUGGAAGUCCUUCCAGUACAGAAUGUCCAAGAUGUUUCAUAUACUUCUCUCCCUUCCACCUACUCAACAAUCUAGAAACAUCAGACUCUUUGCCAUUCUUAGACCAAGAUGUUCCAUCCUCUGACUCUGGGUAUUUUUUCUGCCUGUUUUGGAGGAGAGAAUUUGCAAGGCAUGCAUGCAAGACAGAAAGCAGAGGACAGAAGCUGUCAUUCAAAAUGAAGAAUCCAUUGGAAUGUGACUGGGAGACAGCUGAAGCCAAGUCAACGGCUGGAUUGGGCUGAAAAGGAGCUUUUGGCUUUUGACUUUUGGCUUCUGGCUGAUGGUGGUGGUUGGCUUUUGCUGGCUGGCUGAUUUGAAAGAAGAAAAAGAAGAAAGACAGUGGUCCUCGUAUCUCUCUGACUGACUCUGUUUCACAAUUGUGACUGAUUGCCAAUACCCUCAUUUGUAGAGAAUAGGGAAAUCCUACCCCUCUUACCUUAUCCUCUACCCUUGUCCUGUCUUCCCCAAAUAAACCCUUACUUGAGAAAAAAAGAGAAAAGAGU
rnacentral:lncRNA from 1 species